rnacentral:rRNA from 1 species
CGGAAAGCCUGAUCCAGCAACGCGCGUGAGGGAUGACGGCCUUCGGGUUGUAAACCUCUUUCAGCAGGGACGAAGCGCAAGUGACGGUACCUGCAGAAGAAGCACCGGCCAACUACGUGCCAGCAGCCGCGGUAAUACGUAGGGUGCGAGCGUUGUCCGGAAUUAUUGGGCGUAAAGGGCUCGUAGGCGGUUUGUCGCGUCAGGAGUGAAAACUCGGGGCUUAACUCCGAGCCUGCUUCUGAUACGGGCAGACUAGAGGUAUGCAGGGGAGAACGGAAUUCCUGGUGUAGCGGUGAAAUGCGCAGAUAUCAGGAGGAACACCGGUGGCGAAGGCGGUUCUCUGGGCAUUACCUGACGCUGAGGAGCGAAAGUGUGGGGAGCGAACAGGAUUAGAUACCCUGGUAGUCCACACCGUAAACGUUGGGCGCUAGGUGUGGGACUCAUUCCACGAGUUCCGUGCCGCAGCUAACGCAUUAAGCGCCCCGCCUGGGGAGUACGGCCGCAAGGCUA